GACCUUAAGGUUACAGAUUGGGCUAGGCUGGCUGACCUGGGAGCCCCAGGGAUCUGCCCAGCUCCUCUUCUGAGCAUGCGCCACCAUGUCUGCCUUUUGUGCACAUGUGUACUUAGGAUCAAACUCUUGUCUUCAUGCUUGCAAAGCACUGUAAUGGACUGAGCCAUGUUGCCAGCCCAUAGGAAGAAUUUUGCAUUUGCAAGUUCUUCACUCUUGAUCCAAGGAGCUUAGUCGCCUUUGGUCCAUGGUCCUUAUUGGUGAAACUCUAACUCGUAGACCAUAUUCACAUAGGUUUCCGAGUAGGAAAUGCAUACCAGAGGUCCUGCAACAUCACCUUGGUCUCUGCCAUGCGGCUUCUUGCAAUGGGUACUGCAACCAAUUAACUAAUACCUAGUAAAGUGAGCCAGGCACGGAAUCACACGUGUCAUCCCAAAACUCUAGAGCAGUGCGUCUCAACCUUCCUAAUGCUGCGACCCUUUAAUACAGUUCCUCAUGUUGUGUUGAUCCCCAGCCAUAAGAUUAUCUUGGUGGUACUUUAUAACUGUAAUUUUGCUACUGUAAUGAAUCGUAAUGUAAAUGCUUUUGGACAUAGAGGUUUGCCAAAGGGUCACGACUCAAAGGUUGAGAAUGGCUGCUCUAGCGGUUGAGGCAGAAGGAUUGUUACAAGUUCAGGAUUAGAAUGAUCGGUGCAGUGAGACACGCUUUCUCUGAUGUAAGAGAAAUGUAAAACGCUCUGGGAGCCAGGUCCAUCCUGUCUUCUCAUCUUUACUGUGCAUACAUACAUAAAUCAAUAACAAGCUGCCUUGUAGACAGAGAAGGGAAGGGUGUGGUCGCUGUGAGAAGGUAUUCAGCUACCAGACGCACUGCCUUCCAGAUACACAGGCAAGAACAUAAAAAAUAAAAGAGGAAGAAUACAGGAAGGACCAGUCUAUUCAGGAAGAUGAUUUUGGCAAUAAUUUAAGUUGCUGGCUUCUUUUGUUAAUGAAUACUCAUUGAAUGUCACCUGUUCCUCCGAAGCAAAGAUCACAAUGGCAGGCUAGUAGGUUAGUCAGUGCCUUAGUCGCUAAGUGUUUUCUUCUACACAUACAAUUUAAAACAAUUGUUCAAAAAAAUCCCUCUGGGAUCUAAGCACCGUGGUGCAUCCUUGUAUGUAUGUAUGUAUGUAUGUAUGUAUCCAGUGUGUGGGAAGUGGAGGAAGGAGAGUCAGGAGUUCAAAGUCAUCCUUGGCUACAUAGCAAAUCUGAGGCUAGCCUGGGAUACAUGAGAUCCCAACUAAAUCAAAACCAAAACCAAAACC
rnacentral:lncRNA from 1 species